UUUAAUUUCAAUGUCAAUAGUCCCUGCUCC
rnacentral:piRNA from 1 species